UGAUUCACCUGCCUCGGCCUCCCAAAGUGCUGGGAUUACAGGCGUGAGCCACCACGCCCAGCUGGCUUUCUUUUUUUAAGUACAGAGUUUAAAUUUGUAAUGUUGUCACACAGUGGAAGUUCCCUGCUUUCAGUCCCUGAAUAGCAAAGGCUAUGCCUUGGCCAUCGCUGCUGGAAGAGACACGGCUCAGUGUUGGAUGAAUGUCCUGACUGUUUUCGCCCCAGAGAAUGAAAGGCGCCAACCGUCCUGGGAAAGGGCUCGUUUUGUUCCUGGUCCUGCAGGACAGCCUGGGGUCACCGUCACUGCGGAGCUACAGGCCAGCGUCCUCUUCGUGUCCUAGGGCUCGUUUUGUCCCUGGUCCUGCAGGACAGCCUGGGGUCACCGUCACUGCGGAGCUACAGGCCAGCGUCCUCUUCGUGUCCUAGGGCUCGUUUUGUCCCUGGUCCUGCAGGACAGCAUGGCAGCGAUUGACCGAUUGACCAUUAGGUGAGCUGCGCCUCUUUCUCUUUCGGCACAAAUGUGGGAAGAAAGGGUUUAUUUGUCGGUGAAAUCCCUUUGGGCCCAACCCACAAGUGUCCUGUUCAGUGAGCCUGGUCCCCCCAGACACACACCACCAUCCGCCCUCAGGUCCCUUUCAGCCACCUCAGAGGAGCAAACAUCACGCCUGCCAGACUGCAGUG
rnacentral:lncRNA from 10 species